rnacentral:sRNA from 1 species
UAUUCUGCCCCAUGGGGAAGGAUGAGAAGCUUCGACUAAGGUUCGACUCGAGCGAAGCGAGAGAACGUUGCCGCAGGCAACGGCCCGAAGGGCGAGGCGCUUUAGCGCCGAGUCCACCACCAUCUCUUCA